rfam:Strongylocentrotus purpuratus Contig6433_fixed, whole genome shotgun sequence.
GGAGUGUUGGCUCAGUCAGUAGAGCUUCCGCCUCACAACCGGGAGGUCGUGGGUUCGAACCCCGGCCGCGUCA